GUGCUGGCACUCCGUGCCCUGGAGUGUUCCAUUUUAGGAGUUUGUGCAGGAGGGAGUAAAUGUUUUGGGAAGUCCAUCAGCACUGUGAAUCACAAACUCUGCCUUGAGUUGUGGGGGGCUGGGGGGUUGGUGCAUCUCUUGGAAUCACCGCGGCAUGAUUCAAUGAGAAAAAUUGCGUAGAGAACAACUGUGCCAAAGGUGCUAAGCUGCGCUGAGACCUCACUUCUCUUUUGAGGCUGGGAAGUCUGGCUCCUUGACCUAAAUUCCUCAGGAACAUCAGAGCUAUAACAUGUUUGAAUGCCAUGAUAGCAAUUUUUUGUAUACCAAACACGUAUGCAAUGCUAAGAAAUUGUUCCCCUGAAAGAGGCUGUUAAGCGCCAAGAUCUGUCUCACCCCGAAAGCCACUGUGCAGAGGAAGAACUAGCUGCAGCAGGAGAAAACUCACACCGAAGAGAAUAAUUUGGCUAUUAAGGGUUGAACAGGAUCAAGGGCUGGUGUCAGAAAGGACUUAAGAUGUCCCUCUGAGAAAACAGGUCUCACAAGGAAUCCCAGUGAGGCAUUAAACAGCUUCUAACACUGCAGAGCAGAUCUGUGCCUCCUCCUGCCUGUUCUAAGAGGUUUUCUCCUUUCAUGCUUGCAGCGGCUGUUCGUCACACAUUACACCUUGCGCAAACAGGUGUUUCUCCAGACUGCUUAGCCAGAGCUGAGAUGGAGGAAGAAGCAGAGGAGAAAAUGGAGGGAAAAGGGCCUCCUGGCAGACUGUUUCCAGGAAGGCAGCACAAAGAACCUCCUUUUGAGAGCCCUGAAUUGCCAUUGCCUACUUCUGAAGAACACAGGCAGACAGGACAG